AGACCCGAAACCCGGUGAUCUAGCCAUGGGCAGGUUGAAGGUUGGGUAACACUAACUGGAGGACCGAACCGACUAAUGUUGAAAAAUUAGCGGAUGACCUGUGGCUGGGGGUGAAAGGCCAAUCAAACCGGGAGAUAGCUGGUUCUCCCCGAAAGCUAUUUAGGUAGCGCCUCGUGAAUUCAUCUCCGGGGGUAGAGCACUGUUUCGGCUAGGGGGCCAUCCCGGCUUACCAACCCGAUGCAAACUGCGAAUACCGGAGAAUGUUAUCACGGGAGACACACGGCGGGUGCUAACGUCCGUCGUGAAGAGGGAAACAACCCAGACCGCCAGCUAAGGUCCCAAAGUCAUGGUUAAGUGGGAAACGAUGUGGGAAGGCCCAGACAGCCAGGAUGUUGGCUUAGAAGCAGCCAUCAUUUAAAGAAAGCGUAAUAGCUCACUGGUCGAGUCGGCCUGCGCGGAAGAUGUAACGGGGCUAAACCAUGCACCGAAGCUGCGGCAGCGAACGUAUCACUUAAAGCGAUUCAGCGGGUUACGAUUGACGGAGCGAAGCGACGUCAAAGCGUAUACAAAGUCGAGUCGGUUUAAGGAUACGUUCGUUGGGUAGGGGAGCGUUCUGUAAGCCUGCGAAGGUGGCCUGUGAGGGUUGCUGGAGGUAUCAGAAGUGCGAAUGCUGACAUAAGUAACGAUAAAGCGGGUGAAAAGCCCGCUCGCCGGAAGACCAAGGGUUCCU
rnacentral:rRNA from 2 species